rnacentral:lncRNA from 1 species
CCCGCAGACACGGAGCGGUUCGGCUGACGGCCCUCGGGACGGGCCCGGCCUGCCUUCCGGGGCUGCUGCGCCCCACAUCUUCCAGUGAGGCUGCCUGCGUGCCCGUACGUGCUGGUUGUGUUACUCUGAGGGUCUGCAGGUAACGACGUUUGUGCAAUGAGGGCGGCGAGGCAGUGCCACAGGUUGCCCGGAGAGGCGGUGUGCCCCAUCCCUGCACACACCCAGGGUCAGGACGGAGGGGCUCUGAGCACUGACGGGGCUGUAGGUGUCCCUGUUGGUGCAUCGGGCUGGACCCGAUGACCUUCAAAGCUCCCUUCCAACUCCGGCUUCUUAUGAUCCUAUGCUGGCCAUGUGCUUCCCUCUGCUGUCUGCUGUGGAACGUAAGGCGUUAUCGGGUCUACGGUAAGACCUGGGAUAAACCUUCAACUUCCAGUAAGCAGCACCUCUCUGACAGUUAUUUAAAGCCUGUCCGCAUUGUUCCAGAGCUAUUUCCUUUUUCCUCUAAGGCAACCUACAGUAGGAAACCGGCGGUCCCUCAGGUAGCCCGCUUCCACUUCACUUGAAGUCUUGCCUGCUCGUUGCAUUUGGGGCCAGCAGAGCGACCUGCAGAGGCUGAAAAUUGUCUGCGGCUUCCUGCCUUUUGUGGAGUGGGCCAAAGAUAACAGUUUUGGUUUGGUUUCGGACGGCCCAGGAGUGGGCCUGUUGUGAUUCAUGCGUUCCACUUGCAGAUUGGCAUUGCUGAGACUAUAAAAUGGACGUGCUUGCUUUGGACGGCCUUCCGUAGCCUUUGAAGGGCACAGAAGUGUUCUCCCUGGUUUUGGUGGGAGAAGCAGUCUGUUUGGUGUGCUAGGCUGGUGUGCCAGUUAGUAUCUCCUACUGAUAGGAUGGGAAAGGACAGGGGAUUGGGGUCUCAUUUGUGAAGACUGAAUGUUUGUAGAUGGGGCGUUUUGCACAUUACAUACAAUUUGCAGACCAGUGAUUUGGUAGUUUGUUUUAACCGAUCCAUCUGCCAUCUUAACUCUAGAAAUGAAUGGAAAAGACAGCGUGCUGUGAAUGGAAGUCGUGCUCUGUGAAACCAGCAGUUACUUGUGUGGUAACAGAUAUGUUCUGCGGGGAAAAAGAGAAUGAACUGAAAGCGAGACGUGGAAAUCAAGCUAUGGGAAAGGGUUUUUUUUUGUGACGUUGUGGAUGACUGCGAGGGUUGGCAUUUGUAGCAACCAGAGCCCAUCUCAGUCAUGCAGGGAGUCGCUUUGUAAACGCAGCUUUCCUGCCAACGAGGUUUGUUUGCUUGGUGAUAAGAAACAAUGGUCAACUCGAUGUGCUACUUAAGCAUUUCAGUGCUUGAGGAGAGGAAUCUAGGUUUGUGCUGAACCUGUUUUCUUAGUUAGUCAAAUGCCGGCUUGGCAGCCAAUCUAGAAGGCUGGUAGCACCGAGGCAGAGUGAUUAUGAGGAUUGUUUUCAGCAGCCUCUGCUAAGUCUGCUUUUAUGAAACUUCUUUCCGUUAAAGAAAACAGGUCUUAUCUUCAGGAUUGGAAGCACCGCAUGAGGGAGAGGCACGGGCCAUACUUUUCAAGGUGCCUGAAAAGCAGUGAUGGUUUUGGCUUUGAGUAAGACUGGUGUUCAUCCACGAGAGUGAUAUUAGCUGCAGUUAAGGAGGGGAAAGCAUGGCACAGAGGAGCAACAAAAGGUGUGAGUUUUCCAGUUGUACAUGGAGCACUCGUUUUUGUUCUGCUAAGGAGAGUGUAGUUACAUUGGUUUGGGUUUGUUUUUUCCACUUCCUGCACCUGGGGGUUGUUGUACCCUAAUACAGGCUCUUUUUCUUAUGGCACAGUGGGAUGGCAUGAUCGGUGUGUGGCCCUGGGGGCACCCAGGCCUGAAGCCGUGCCCUCACUGUGUGCUGAGAGCUGGCCUUGGGGUGAAGCCAGGUGGUGCCUGACACUGGGUGAGCUCCCAGAGGAGGACAGCACACUCCAGGUCCCGUCCUUAUUUUACUGGUGUUGCAAACAAGUUAUUCUUGUACUCUGCAGAAAGCCUCACGACCACAAAACCAGCAAUAAUUGUAUAAAUGAUAAGCCUGUUUUCCUCCUCCUCCUCCCAGAUAUUCUGAGUGCGACAGACAGCAGAGAUGUGCAUUGCUGGAAUCCAGAGAGUUUCAUAACGUGGCAGCCGCUUGCUGCAUAUGCCACUGCAUACAUAAAGCGGUAUUUAUUUUAAGUAUUGAGGAACAUUCUCUCUAAGCAGAAGAAAAAAGCGUUUAGGUGAAGCCGGUCCCGUUUGUUUACAAGUCUUGGUUUUUGUCUUUAUACAUUUUAAAUGCUUUUUAUUUGUAUCCUGAUUUUUUUUGAGCCUUUCAAGUUCAUGUUUUCCAUUUCUCGUUGUUCACACAACAAGAAAGCCUGGAUUGAGUCCUUACUUUAUAAAGGAAGAUCUCAUUGAGUGUCCCCUCUAACCACACAACCUCAGCCAAAGGGUGUUUAAAAAUACAGCCCCUUUUGAGAGAAUUGCUUGUCUUGAGAGCAGUUUUCAGCUCUGAGCUUGAGUAAUUUAAGUAAAUACUUUGUUGGCGGUUUAAGAAGCUUUUAACAACACCUAUCUCUGUUUGCUUUUCAGGGAGGUCUCUCUUCUACUUUUCUGAACAUCUAGAGCUUGUUUCACCUCUGUAUGUGCUGAUGAAGUCAGAAACGUAGUGUACCAGCAUGACUAACGUGUGUUGAAUAAUGCAUACAAAUAUAUGCACAGAUUUCAUGCAGUCCCCUUAAGCUGCUGAGCAGCAGGGAGGGUGCAGAGCCCCUCCUCAGGGCGGCAGGAGGAGGUGUGUUGGCAUCCUGGGAGGAGCAGAAAACCUCUGUGGUUCCCUGAGGAAAUCACAGAUGCGUUCGAGGCCUUAAGCUUGGUAGCCUGAUGUUUAACCCUGUCCUUGUUUUUGGAAUGCUGUUAACAGAUAAGUGAGCAUUUUAAAUCUGUUGUUGUUUGUUGCGGUGCUGCUCUCAAGCAGUGCACAUCAAGACCAGGAGGAGACAUCCUUCCUCAGCUCAAAGAUUCUGCCUCUCCCCGCUAUGGAUACAAGCACAAGCACCUGGCUAUGCGUUCCCCAGGCUGCAGACAGCUUUCUGGCCAGCUGCUCUCUCUGCUCUAUCCCUACCAAUAACAUCCAGGGAAAGCAGGGGCCGACUGCUGUCCUGUGGCUGUGCAGGAGCCCCAUUCUGUGCUCCCAGGCCAGGUGCUCCAGAAUGGCUUUUCUAGGAGGUUACGACUUGUGUGGUUUCAAUCGCAUAAGUCUUUGGCCUUGUGCCCUGAAGUGCCAGCAGAGGCAUGCUGUAAUUGCCCGUAAACGCACCGUCUGUCAUUAUCAUUGUUUAAUUAUUCCAGCUUCUCACCGCCACGCACUGCUCAGUGUCUCUCCUGCUAUCUUUAUUUAAUUGAGUGGAAAAAAUCUGAGACUUGUGCUUCACUUACGUCACUUUGUAUUUAUCCAGCAUCACUGGAUCCCGCUUUGAAGUCCCAGCUUUUGUAUGCAGAAGUCGGUCUUCUAUACAGACAAAAUAAUGUCCGUGUCAAAAGCGUAUGUUAGAAAUAGAAUCAAUAUUUUAACACAUGGUAAACUCCGGCCACAAAGCUCUUAGCACAGUCAAAUGAUUGUAUGAUCAUCCUUUGAAACUUGGCUCUGCCCCUGGGAAACAAGAAAGGGAAAGAAAACUCUUGAAUAACCAAGCCCUUGUCCUCACAGCGCAGGACUGUUCUCAGCCUGUCGCUUUGUCUGUGCCACUCCUUCCUUUUCCGUCUCCCAGCUCUGUUUUCUUCUGCAUCAAACGCAUUCAGCUCCAGGAGCCUUCUUUCUCCAGCCCAUCCCUAUGGAUCUGUUUUAGUGCAUUACCAGACGUCAGUUCCGUCCCGAGAUCGCCCUGCACCGUCCCCGUGGCAGUUCCACCACGUUUCAGACACCUCUACGCUUCUGUACCAAGCUUGCAACUAACCAGAUAUUAAUGUGAUGCAAAAGGUAAUCUUUCUGAGAUCUCUCCAACGCUCCCCUUGUCCGUAUGGCCUGAAAAGACUUGGCAGUGUGUUGGCUGCUUUUCUUUUCUCCCCUUUCCCCGUGUCAGUGACAAAUGCACAUUGUUUUUCUGGUCUUUCAGUCUCCGAGCCAGACCAACGCUUUGUGCAGCACCUAGCUCACCGGGUUGCUAUCAAGGCAGCUGUGUGCUCCUACACCAACACAAAAUAUUGGGGUUGCUGGCACUCACUCUGGCCUAGUUUGCCUCUCUCCUCUUAGAAGGAGUUUCAUGACGUCCUCCUGGAAGAUCAUUGUACACCUGAACAGGUCUACCUUUCAGGAUUCUAUUUUACUUUUUCAUAAAUCCUCAGCUGAGGUUUUCAUUUGCAGGUGUGCUCCUUGUAAUGCUCGGCUCCCUGACUGAGCCAGCAUCAUUUUUGGGGUUGUACUUUCCGGCUUCUCAUAGCUGUAAGAUUAUUAAUUUCAUACUAUUUUCUGAUUUGUUUCAUUUUUCAUCCAUCUCUUUCCUGCAGGAGAGAGCAAUUUAUAUCAUGAUUUCGCUGUGGAAUUGACUUCAGGCUUUACUGCUAUUUGUCACCAUUCAGGAAAUCCAUCCCUGGCUCGAGAAGAACACUCAGUCCCUGCUGACAGUUUGAAAGAGGGAGAGAAAAUAGAUAGCAGAGCUGCAGCUAUUAGGACCAACAGGCACAUAUUUUAUUCCAACUCAAUUUUCCAUUUCCAAAUGCCUUUUGAAGAAAACCUUUCUGUUUGAAAGAACAUGAAGGAAGGUUGUGGGUACCGGUGGGUUUUUUUGGCGGGUGGGGGGUUGUUUUGGUAGUGAUGGUUUGUUGUCAAUGUUGUUUCGUAGGGACUCUCCUGUUCUUGAUGAUGUCCAUCUUCUUCCACGUUUCAGGCAGCAGGCUCACAACAACGACAAGAUGUUAUCCCACGGAAAGCUGCUGCUGCUGCCUCUGGCCUUGGUUAACCUGUUGGCAAUGGUGCUUGCCUGGGCAUGGGGCAACUGGCUUUUCACACAGCUCAGCAUGGACGUGCUGCCACUCCCAGUCACUUUUAGGACACAGUAGAAUUGUUUUUCUUGAGAUUACUGUACCCAUUAAUCUUAAGAAAAACAUGUAAUAAAACUGUUCAGCCUUCCUGGGGCCACCACUCCCAGAGACCUUUCCCCUUUUUGGCUUCUGCAAUAGCUUCUUUCCUUUGGCUCUGCACCUUUAUCAGCUAGAAAUGAUAAACUACAAAGCUGGUUGGCUUCAGGCUCUCUUUUUUGCAGGACAGGCUAUGCUUGUGCCUAUUGAGGACUGGAAGAUCACAGAGGAUGAGGGGGAAAGGGAAGGCUGCUCGCUCUUGUACACAAUGCAGUGGCAGGAUACAGCCUUUUAUGAAGUUCAGCAAAGAAAAACUUGGGCUUUCCUGCACACCGUGCCAUACCAGUCAGCCUGGUACUUAUGUUCCUGGACCUUUGAAGGCAUGCAGAUCUGCAGUGCUGCUACAGCAUCAGAGUCCAACUGCAAUGUGUGGCAUGUGAGAAGCUGGUGAACCCGCGGCCACGUUCGGCUUGAAUACACUUUCCUUGGGAGGAAGUGGCUUUUCCCUCGGAGAGCUCAACUCCCCAGGGUCCCUGUGAGGCUGUGCCAGCUCUUCCAGCCUCCCCACUUUCUGUGUACCUGUGACCAUGGCAAUACAGCCAGGAUUACAUCUAAGGUGAAGACAGAAAAACCAUGAUGAAGGUUUAUGCUAUUUUCAUGACGAAUAUGAUGCUCACAAAAAUGAAAAGGUGUUUGUCUUCAAAGCCUUCAAAGCUUUCUUCUUUCCCACAGAACGAGUGAACACGUUGCAACCCUUGCCUGAAAGACUGAGGCCAAGUUUCUCAAAAACUGACAAUUCAGGAAAAGGGAUAGGAUGGGAAAGUCUGGGCAGAGUGAGGUGUAGAUGAGAGGAAGGUAAAACCUUAAAAUGGGAAUUUGGAGGUUUGAGAUGAGGUGGAGGGAGGCUGAGAUUCACGAAGAAAGUGUAAUCAGGAAUGAGAGGAGGUUUAUGCUGAGACCAUCUGUGCAAGGAACCAGUAGCAGGGGAGGGACAGAAGUCAGCAGAAUUGUUUGUCAGUGCAGAGAAAGUCACAGGGGAUAGGAAGUUAGAAGAAGAACUGGGCAAAGGAGACUGAAUGAAGAGCUGGCGUAGGGAACCAGAGCUGGAAGCGCUGUUGGAUGCUAAGAAACUAGAGGCGGGUGGUAGACAUCUGAAGGUGUUAGCUGGGCAUAGGCAGAGGGGAAGGUGGUGGAGUACUGGGGAAGGCUGCGGGAUGAGGGGCAUGUGCUGGCUGGGCCAUCUCUGCUCUCCAGGCUGGCAGCCAAGCAGGGCUUACCCAAGGCUGGCCUUCACUGUGGCUCAGCCGGCAAAGAAUUUGCCUCUUGUUGGUCUGCCCCAGACACAGAGAGAAUUUAGUGCCCUGGGAUGAGGCGGCAGCAGCUGCCUGCCUGGGGGAGGAGAGGGCUUGCUUGUAGUUAGAUGGAAAAAUAAAAUUACAGUUGGGAGGAGGUAGUGAAAAGGCCACGUGAACAAGAGAGAAAAGGUCAAUUCAUUAGUCCGGCAGCCACUAAAUUAAGAAAAGGCAAGUGAGGCUAUAAUAUCAGAGGUAUCUGAAUUCAGUCAAAGAUGGUUUUGAAGUUGCUGGAUUGAUCUUGUGGUCAGCUUAAGCAAGCUUAACAAAUUAAUUACAGUAUUUUAGUUCAUUGUGUAAGAGCUAGCUAAUAAAUCACAGUGCUUUGUAGAAACAUGCUUGAAACAACUGUGUAAAUACUAAAUAGCCUUAGGAGUGGUCUUACGAAUCCACUGAAUAAUCCAAAUUCCAGCACUCUUCCCCCUCUGCUGCUGCUCUAGAUAUAGGAUAACAGUCACUGCUGUUAUCUGCUCCUUUUUGAGGCAGGGGGGCAGAGGUCUGUGUCAGACAUGGGGAGGUACCAGCACUGCUGGGGACCCAGGGAAGUGCCAUGAUGCUGUGUGAUCUGCACCACAGCAGUCCUUUUAGGAGCUACAUGCAUUAAAGGAACAUUAUUACGGUUGCAAAGCCAAGCAUUUAAAAGUUAGGCAAUGUCCAAAUGAAAUACCUCUGAAACCUUAAUUCAGACUGUGUACACACGCA